AUACGAGGGGUGCAAGCGUUAAUCGGAAUUACUGGGCGUAAAGCGUUCGUAGGCGGUUUGUUAAGCAAGAUGUGAAAGCCCUGGGCUCAACCUGGGAACUGCAUUUUGAACUGGCAAGCUAGAAUACUGUAGAGGGUGGUGGAAUUUCCAGUGUAGCGGUGAAAUGCGUAGAGAUUGGAAGGAACACCAGUGGCGAAGGCGGCCACCUGGACAGAUAUUGACGCUGAGGAACGAAAGCGUGGGGAGCGAACAGAAUUAGAAACCCGAGUAGUCC
rnacentral:rRNA from 1 species